rnacentral:rRNA from 1 species
CAGCAGCCGCGGUAAAACGGAGGGUGCAAGCGUUAAUCGGAAUUACUGGGCGUAAAGCGCACGCAGGCGGUCUGACAAGUCAGAUGUGAAAUCCCCGGGCUUAACCUGGGAACUGCAUUUGAAACUGUCAGGCUGGAGUCUUGUAGAGGGGGGUGGAAUUCCAGGUGUAGCGGUGAAAUGCGUAGAGAUCUGGAGGAAUACCGGUGGCGAAGGCGGCCCCCUGGACAAAGACUGACGCUCAGGUGCGAAAGCGUGGGGAGCAAGCAGGAUUAGAUACCCCAGUAGUCCCUGUCUCUUAUAC